rnacentral:rRNA from 1 species
CUACCUAUAAGACUGGGAUAACUUCGGGAAACCGGAGCUAAUACCGGAUAAUAUUUUGAACCGCAUGGUUCAAAAGUGAAAGACGGUCUUGCUGUCACUUAUAGAUGGAUCCGCGCUGCAUUAGCUAGUUGGUAAGGUAACGGCUUACCAAGGCAACGAUGCAUAGCCGACCUGAGAGGGUGAUCGGCCACACUGGAACUGAGACACGGUCCAG